AUUGAACGCUGGCGGAAGGCUUAACACAUGCAAGUCGAACGGCAGCACGGGGCCAGCCUGGUUGCGGGGGGGGGAAGGGGGGGGAAUAACACGGAAACGUCCCCGUCGGGGGGGGUAAAGUGGGGAAAGUUGAGGCAAUUACGCCAACGGACCGGAGGAGGAAAGGGGGGAACCUUGGGCCCUCCGGCGUUGGGGCGGCCGGAUGUCAGAUUAGGUAGUUGGUGGGGUAAAGGCCUACCAAGCCGACGAUCUGUAGCUGGUCUGAGAGGACGACCAGCCACACUGGAACUGAGACACGGCCCAGACUCCUACGGGAGGCAGCAGUGGGGAAUUUUGGACAAUGGGCGCAAGCCUGAUCCAGCCAUUCCGCGUGCAGGACGAAGGCCUUCGGGUUGUAAACUGCUUUUGUACGGAACGAAAAGGCUCUGGCUAAUACCUGGGGCUCAUGACGGUACCGUAAGAAUAAGCACCGGCUAACUACGUG
rnacentral:rRNA from 1 species